rnacentral:tRNA from 1 species
GGGGGAUUGGCUCAGUUGGGAGAGCGCUUGCAUGGCAUGCAAGAGGUCAUCGGUUCGAACCCGAUAUCCUCCA